rnacentral:misc_RNA from 1 species
CUUCUAAUUCAUCUAGCAUCAUCUGGCACAGUUGAUAUUCUCAGCAACAAUUAAUGUUCAGAGAGAGAGAGAGAGAUAAUUGGCAACAUUACCAUUUCUACACAUACAGUAUUGUCACAUUUAUAGUUUAAAGAUCCAAUAAAGCAACAGAGUGAACCAUGCAUACGCAGAGCAAAUGACUCAUUAUUUGGUAGAAAAAUAAAGGACAAAAUAAAUAUCUAUUGGAGUUUACUAGGAAGAGCACUAUAUUAAUAAUUCUCCUCUUUUGACAUUUACCGAAUAUGAGAAUAGAAUACAACUGUAAAAUGGUGAAGUUGACAGCCAUUGAGAAUAAAUUAAUGGAAACAUCACCAAAGAUGGCUUGGCCACUGUUGGAAUAUCAUCUGCGAGAACAAGUCUCACAUUGGUAGUUUACAAGAAAAUUAAAGGGCCCAAGUGUUGGCAAACCAAACCAAUGGGAAGCCCAGUUCAGCUUGUAGCCUGCUAGUUUGAUAUUCACACCCUUGGGCCCAAAAUUCAACAUGGUAUUAAAGCAGGUCAGGGCCCGGUUUCAGCUCCAAUUCAAUUUCUCAGUAUUGCCGCUAAAUUUCAGUUUUAGCUUUCAAGUGUCAAUCCAAUGUUCCGGUUGCCACUUGAGGGGAAGUGUUGAAAUAUUACUUGUGGGAACAAGUCCCACGCUAGUAGUGAACAAGAAAAUUAAAGGACAUAUAAGUGUUAGCAAACCAAAU